AGAGUUUGAUCAUGGCUCAGAACGUACGCUGGCGGCACGCCUAACACAUGCAAGUCGAACGAAGUAGCAAUACUUAGUGGCAGACGGGUGAGUAACAUGUGGGUAUCUACCCUUUGGCCAGGAAUAACACGAGGAAACUUGUGCUAAUACCUGAUAAGUCUUUACGGAGAAAGCUUUAUGCACCAUUGGAUGAGCCUGCACUUGAUUAGUUAGUUGGUGGGGUAAAGGCCUACCAAGACUUUGAUCAAUAGCUGAUUUGAGAGGAUGAUCAGCCACAUUGGGACUGAGACACGGCCCAAACUCCUACGGGAGGCAGCAGUGGGGAAUCUUGCACAAUGGAGGAAACUCUGAUGCAGCGAUGCCGCGUGAGUGAAGAAGGCCUUUGGGUUGUAAAGCUCUUUCGUCGGGGAAGAAAAUGACUGUACCCGAAUAAGAAGGUCCGGCUAACUUCGUGCCAGCAGCCGCGGUAAUACGAAGGGACCUAGCGUAGUUCGGAAUUACUGGGCUUAAAGAGUUCGUAGGUGGUUGAAAAAGUUGGUGGUGAAAUCCCAGAGCUUAACUCUGGAACUGCCAUCAAAACUUUUCAGCUAGAGUUUGAUAGAGGAAAGCAGAAUUUCUAGUGUAGAGGUGAAAUUCGUAGAUAUUAGAAAGAAUACCAAUUGCGAAGGCAGCUUUCUGGAUCAUUACUGACACUGAGGAACGAAAGCAUGGGUAGCGAAGAGGAUUAGAUACCCUCGUAGUCCAUGCCGUAAACGAUGUGUGUUAGACGUUGGAAAUUUAUUUUCAGUGUCGCAGCGAAAGCGAUAAACACACCGCCUGGGGAGUACGACCGCAAGG
rnacentral:rRNA from 1 species